GCCUCUGUGGUGUCGUGGUAGCACGCGUCCACGUAUGAAUGAAACUCGGGUUCAACUCCCGCCUGAGGCU